rnacentral:ncRNA from 1 species
AUAUUUCCAGUUUAGCCGGAGUCUGUAAUAAAGCAGUUAUAUUGGGUAAAGCGAAUGAUUAGAGGAAUUGUGGGAUGAAACAUUUUCAAUCUGUCCUCAAAUUUUCAAUGAUUAUGACGUCUCGCAUUUUUGAAUGAAGCGUAGACAUUGAAUGUGUGCUCCAAAUAGGUCAUUUUUAGGAAGCAGAACUGGCAGGCUAUGGGAUAAACCG